rnacentral:rRNA from 1 species
UACGUAGGGCGCAAGCGUUGUCCGGAAUCAUUGGGCGUAAAGGGCUCGUAGGCGGUUUGUCGCGUCGGGAGUGAAAUCCACUGGCUUAACUGGUGGCUUGCUUUCGAUACGGGCAGACUGGAGGUAUGCAGGGGAGAACGGAAUUCCUGGUGUAGCGGUGAAAUGCGCAGAUAUCAGGAGGAACACCGGUGGCGAAGGCGGUUCUCUGGGCAUGUCCUGACGCUGAGGAGCGAAAGUGUGGGGAGCGAACAGG